CUUGUUGAAGAUCUUCAAGUGAGCUCCACUGAGCUUAACUACUCAGUAAAACAGAUUAUCUAAACUGACAUCUAUCAAAAGUAUAGAGACCCCGUCCUGUGAAUGAUUUCAGUGCCAACGCCUGAACUGAGAGCCAUGGUCUCGUAUCUUCAACCUUUACUGUUCUUGGUAGAAUAGCACAUUUAUCCUGAUAAUAAUGACUGCAAGCUGCUUGGUACCUAGGGCCACAAACAGCGAAGCCUGCCUUGAACAGAUGAGCAUUUGGGGGAUCGUACUUCAUAGAGAAACCAGAAGGAGAUGAAUAAAGUAGACCACAGCAAAGAAUUGUGAUAGGAAAGCCAAGACAGCAGAGUGCAGCUCUGACUGAUAAGUGUCGUUUAUGCGGAGGAGACAGCUUGGCAGGUGAAGCUCAGGGGCCUGAGUUCCGGUCUCCAGCAGCGAUCCAAACCCAGGACAAGAACUAAUGCUCUAAUUUUGAGGAUUCAAGGACCACUUUUGCCCAUUCUUCAUCAGAGAUUGCACUAUUCAAGUACUUUGCUUCUUUUAGAUGAAUGCCCUAAUUUGUUCCUGUUAUACAGACAGAGAAAGCUGAGUUCUAUAUUAAAAAGGUCUCAUCACCGGCUUCAGACACCUUGAAAUAUAGAAUACAAAGAAAGUAGCACUGAAUGAAUGAAAGCAUCUUUGACUUUAGGAUGAAAGCCCCUAAGGUAGAACGUCAAGAUGAGCUGUUUUUGAAUAGACAAUCACAGAGG